ACGCAUAUAAUUGUCUGAUAGACCAAAGAAUUUUAAAACUUUCAACAACGGAUCUCUUGGUUCUCGCAUCGAUGAAGAACGCAGCGAAGCGCGAUAGGUAUUGUGAAUUGCAGAAUUGUGAAUCAUCGAAUUUUUGAACGCACAUUGCACCCAUUGGUAUUCCGAUGGGUAUACUUGUUUGAGCGUCAUUUCAUUCUCCUUUUUGGGGUUUUAGCUUGAUUAAAUCUGGCUGAAUUAUAGUGGUGUGGCUACCAGACUACAACGUGAUAGAUAUUUCGUUGGAUGUGACUGGGAUUGCUCACCUUAAAACAAUUGUAUAGACCUCAAAUCAAGCAGGACUACCCGCUGAACUUAA
rnacentral:sRNA from 1 species